rnacentral:rRNA from 1 species
UGGGGAAUAUUGGACAAUGGGCGCAAGCCUGAUCCAGCCAUGCCGCGUGAGUGACGAAGGCCUUAGGGUUGUAAAGCUCUUUCGGCGGGGAAGAUAAUGACGGUACCCGCAGAAGAAGCCCCGGCUAACUCUGUGCCAGCAGCCGCGGUAAUACAGAGGGGGCAAGCGUUGUUCGGAAUCACUGGGCGUAAAGCGCACGUAGGUGGAUAGUUAAGUUCGGGGUGAAAUCCCAGGGCUCAACCCUGGAACUGCCUCGGAUACUGGCUAUCUCGAGUCCGGAAGAGGUGAGUGGAAUUCCUAGUGUAGAGGUGAAAUUCGUAGAUAUUAGGAAGAACACCGGUGGCGAAGGCGGCUCACUGGUCCGGUACUGACACUGAGGUGCGAAAGCGUGGGGAGCAAACAGGAUUAGAUACCC